CCCCAGACUCCUACGGGAGGCAGCAGUGGGGAAUAUUGCACAAUGGGGGAAACCCUGAUGCAGCGACGCCGCGUGAGUGAAGAAGUAUUUCGGUAUGUAAAGCUCUAUCAGCAGGGAAGAAAUAGCGACCUUUGGGUCGCCAGACGGUACCUGAUUAAGAAGCCCCGGCUAACUACGUGCCAGCAGCCGCGGUAAUACGUAGGGGGCAAGCGUUAUCCGGAUUUACUGGGUGUAAAGGGAGCGUAGGCGGCCUGGCAAGCCUGAUGUGAAAUACCGGGGCCCAACCCCGGGGCUGCAUUGGGAACUGCCAGGCUGGAGUGCCGGAGAGGCAGGCGGAAUUCCUAGUGUAGCGGUGAAAUGCGUAGAUAUUAGGAGGAACACCAGUGGCGAAGGCGGCCUGCUGGACGGUGACCGACGCUGAGGCUCGAAAGCGUGGGGAGCAAACAGGAUUAGAUACCCUUGUAUC
rnacentral:rRNA from 1 species